GCCAACCAGCGAUGGUGAGCGAAUCCCAAAAAGUGCGUCGUAGUCCGGAUUGGAGUCUGCAACUCGACUCCAUGAAGUCGGAAUCGCUAGUAAUCGUGAAUCAGAAUGUCACGGUGAAUACGUUCCCGGGCCUUGUACACACCGCCCGUCACACCAUGGGAGUGGGCUGCAAAAGAAGUGGGUAGUUUAACCUUUCGAGGAGGACGCUCACCACUUUGUGGUUCAUGACUGGGGUGAAGUCGUAACAAGGUAGCCCUAGGGGAACCUGGGGCUGGAUCACCUCCUUAUACGAUGAU
rnacentral:rRNA from 1 species